rnacentral:rRNA from 1 species
GACGAACGCUGGCGGCGUGCUUAACACAUGCAAGUCGAACGGAAAGGCCCUGCUUUUGUGGGGUGCUCGAGUGGCGAACGGGUGAGUAACACGUGAGUAACCUGCCCUUGACUUUGGGAUAACUUCAGGAAACUGGGGCUAAUACCGGAUAGGAGCUCCUGCUGCAUGGUGGGGGUUGGAAAGUUUCGGCGGUUGGGGAUGGACUCGCGGCUUAUCAGCUUGUUGGUGGGGUAGUGGCUUACCAAGGCUUUGACGGGUAGCCGGCCUGAGAGGGUGACCGGCCACAUUGGGACUGAGAUACGGCCCAGCCUCCUACGGGAGGCAGCAGUGGGGAAUAUUGCACAAUGGGCGGAAGCCUGAUGCAGCAACGCCGCGUGCGGGAUGACGGCCUUCGGGUUGUAAACCGCUUUCGCCUGUGACGAAGCGUGAGUGACGGUAAUGGGUAAAGAAGCAUCGGCUAACUACGUG